AUACUGUUCUCGUGGUAGUGAAUAAGUCUCAGGAGAUCUGGUGGUUUUAUAAGGGGAAACCUCUUUCACUUGGAUCUCAUUCUGCCUUGCCUGCCACCAUGUAAGAUGUCCCUUGCUCUUCCACCAUGAUUGUGAGGCCUCUCCAGCCAUGUGAAACUGUGUGCCUAUGAGGUGAACUGCCAUGUCUACACAUCCCAGUAUGAGUGAGUGCAGGUGGUGUGCACGCGCCCUGCGAUGGGAGUGUGUCCUAUUCAGGGCUGGUUCCCGCCUUGCGCCCUAAGCUUUGGAGAUAGGCUUCGGCCACCCUCAACCCUGAACUGGAAUAAGCAGAAAACCACAUCUGGUCAGGAGCCCAGUGUGUCCCACUUGGACAAGAAUAGAAAUCUCUCUUCUGGAAUAUGGUAAACACAGAUUUUGUUUCCAAGUUAACACAUAAUGUAGUUCUAUCAUGUUUACAGACAGUAAGUUCUCAAUAUCAUAUUAAAUAUAGAUUCUGUGCCAAAAGAAUAGGGAUCAACCUGUCAUCUCUAUUUCCAGGAAUUAGUCUUUUUUAUUCCUCUAGUGGAAACCUUUGAGGAAUUUGCUCAUUUUCCCCCUAAAGCUGUGAAGAAAAGUUAAAGGUCAAAUGGGAGAAUAGAAUGAAAGAAGAAGAAAACAGAAACUCAAAGAAACCUAGACUCUUGAAUUUGAACUCAUUUUUUUGCAAAAUAAUUGAAUGAGUCAGUCCGAAAUCAUCAGAGGGCUCUCCACCUAUUUCUCAAUGAACUGAGAAGCAUGGAGGAUUCAGGGUGGGGCUAGGGAGGUGGAAACCCAUGCUUUGAUUCAGGGAGAGGUAAUGCUUCUAAGCUUCAUUAGGAACUGAAUAAUGGCAAGGUGCCCAGGGAGCAUGCCUGGAUUCUGGCUCCUUGCCCAACCCUCACCCUGCCCCAGGGCAAACUCAGAAAACCAAGUCAGAUCAUCAUAAUGACGUGCAUGGCUGCUGUUACCUGAGACAGAAGCCAUGAUGUCAUCUUGUCAUAAUUGACUUCAGGUUUGUCACUCUCAGAUCUUCUCUGGUUGGAGCCAAUGGUUUCUUUCAGACCUGAGAUAUCCUGAUGAAGCAGACCACACCUGCCCUCAGAGAUGACCUCAUGAGGAAGCUGAGCUGCAUAACAAACAUCUCUGCUGCUCAGCCACCUCCACUCUUUUUCAACAGACCUUGGAGAUAGCACAGCACCCACACCAAAAAAUCAGGAAGCUCUCUUAUCAGCAAUCUUUCUGUACCUAUGAAAUCAGACAUUCCAGCCAUGGCAGAACCUCCUGAGUGGGCCAGAGCCUCAGAGUCAGGAAAAGCUGGGGCCUAAUGAUGUUUCAAAUCAAAUCACUCUGUAGGGGAUUUUCCAUUUAACAUAUUGUGAUUGUGCAGUAACAUUAGUCUUUGCCAUUUAAUUUAUUAAAUUUUAAAAUCUUAUAAUAUCCUCAA
ensembl:lncRNA LINC02957 long intergenic non-protein coding RNA 2957